CCUUCUUUCUCGACCCCGGUUGUGGGCCUAAAUUGUCCAACCUGAACCUCACAUUAGGAGUUGGAGAUGCAACAGCAGCACUAGCUGCCUGAUUGGUAACUAGUAGUGACGGUCUUCCACCAUUUGAAUUGCUCUUGAAGUUGAGUUUAAGAGGAAUGAAGUUGCCGGUCGUAAACUUCAAAUUUGCCAAGUUUCCCUUGAAUGGGGAAGAAGGUUGAUGAAGGGAGGGUGUGGUUUUGAGAGGAGCGUUUGAAGAGAGGGAGAGGAUUGCUGCCAUGGAGAAGAUAGAAGAAGAGAGUGCGCGCUAGCAGUUUCAAUUUUCCAGGAAAUUAAAUGGAUAUGGAUAGGGCAAUAGCCCACAGGUGCCCC
rnacentral:misc_RNA from 1 species